GUGACGAGCGGCGGACGGGUGAGUAAUGUCUGGGAAACUGCCUGAUGGAGGGGGAUAACUACUGGAAACGGUAGCUAAUACCGCAUAACGUCGCAAGACCAAAGUGGGGGACCUUCGGGCCUCAUGCCAUCAGAUGUGCCCAGAUGGGAUUAGCUAGUAGGUGGGGUAACGGCUCACCUAGGCGACGAUCCCUAGCUGGUCUGAGAGGAUGACCAGCCACACUGGAACUGAGACACGGUCCAGACUCCUACGGGAGGCAGCAGUGGGGAAUAUUGCACAAUGGGCGCAAGCCUGAUGCAGCCAUGCCGCGUGUGUGAAGAAGGCCUUCGGGUUGUAAAGCACUUUCAGCGGGGAGGAAGGCGAUAAGGUUAAUAACCUUGUCGAUUGACGUUACCCGCAGAAGAAGCACCGGCUAACUCCGUGCCAGCAGCCGCGGUAAUACGGAGGGUG
rnacentral:rRNA from 1 species